rnacentral:rRNA from 1 species
AAUCAACGCUGGCGGCGUGCCUCAGACAUGCAAGUCGAACGAUUAAAGCUCUCUUCGGAGAGUGCAUAGAGUGGCGCACGGGUGAGUAACACGUAAGUAAUCUACCUUCGAGUGGGGAAUAACGUCCGGAAACGGACGCUAAUACCGCAUAAUGCAGCGGCAUCGUAAGAUGACAGUUGUUAAAGAUUUAUCGCUUGAAGAGGAGCUUGCGGCAGAUUAGCUAGUUGGUAAGGUAAUGGCUUACCAAGGCUACGAUCUGUAACCGGUCUUAGAGGACGGUCGGUCACACUGACACUGAAUAACGGGUCAGACUCCUACGGGAGGCAGCAGUCGGGAAUUUUGGGCAAUGGGCGAAAGCCUGACCCAGCGACGCCGCGUGGGUGAUGAAGGCC